rnacentral:lncRNA from 1 species
CCACACCCCACCGUGUGGUUUCUCCCGAUUUAAAGUCCAAAUCCCUAUCUUUUUGGUAUGUAAUUGGAAGAGGGAAGGUCGUUGAUAGGAGCAUAUUUAUGCGACUUAGUUAGCUUGUUCUUAUGCAUUUAUGUGGUUAUUUCUUAGUUAAAUUAGUAUUUCAAAUCAUUUUCGUGUGUUUGUAGUGAAGGAAAUUUUGUGAAAAACAUGUUCAUUUGAAUAACAUCUAUAGCAUGCAAUUAACAAUUAAAAGGCGGAAUCAUGCUUGUAUGCACUCAAAAACAAAACAUUACCCAUGAAAUUCAAAGCCUAGUAGAUUGGUGAACCUUGACUCAACUUAAAACAACAUUUGUUAGUUGAGAAAUUAUACCUUUGUAGAUUCGUCUUUGCAUAAGCAAAGGCUAAUCACCCAAAGAGAGGGCCUUCAUUCCUUGCUUCUUAGAUCUAUGGAUUUGGAUGGAUGAAAUAGUUCUCCAAGUCCCCAAAAUUGAGAACCUUUAAGUCUCUUCACCAAGGUUAGAUUGGAGAAGAAAUGAGUGACCUUGGAGUAGUAGGAUUGCUAGCUAAACCCUCCAAGGAGGCCGGCCACUUUAGAGAGAAAUGAGAGCUUAUGUUCUCAUCCUUUCCCCAAAAGAAAACCCUAAAUGAAUUUUGGCAAUAAAGUCAUAUUUAUACCUUAAUUCAUUGGAGUGGCAAACUUGUAAAUAAGUCCAAAACUCACUCCAUCUCUAAAUGGCUGGCCUUAGGGUAUUAUUGGGCUAAUUGGGCCUUUGUGAAUCAUUAUUCAUUAAGUUGUCAUACAACUUAAGUCAAUGGGCUUGACGUUCGAAGCCCAAUGGGCAUUAAGGUCCAAAACUAUCCCGAGGUCUUUAACGAACUUAUUCGUUUGAUUAAUUAACAUAUUAAUUA